UACGAAGGGUGCUAGCGUUGUUCGGAAUUACUGGGCGUAAAGCGCGCGUAGGCGGCUUGACAAGUCAGGGGUGAAAUCCCACAGCUCAACUGUGGAAUUGCCUUUGAAACUGUCAGGCUUGAGUGUCGGAGGGGAUAGCGGAAUUGCUAAUGUAGAGGUGAAAUUCGUAGAUAUUAGCAGGAACACCGGGUGGCGAAGGCGGCUACUCUGGACGACAACUGACGCUGAGGCGCGAAAAGCGUGGGG
rnacentral:rRNA from 1 species